GGGUUGUGAGGUUAAGCGACUAAGCGUACACGGUGGAUGCCCUGGCAGUCAGAGGCGAUGAAGGGCGUGCUAAUCUGCGAUAAGCGCCGGUAAGGUGAUAUGAACCGUUAUAACCGGCGAUACCCGAAUGGGGAAACCCAGUGUGACUCGUCACACUAUCAUUAACUGAAUCCAUAGGUUAAUGAGGCGAACCGGGGGAACUGAAACAUCUAAGUACCCCGAGGAAAAGAAAUCAACCGAGAUUCCCCCAGUAGCGGCGAGCGAACGGGGAGGAGCCCAGAGCCUGAAUCAGCAUGUGUGUUAGUGGAAGCGUCUGGAAAGGCGCGCGAUACAGGGUGACAGCCCCGUACACAAAAGCGCAUAUGCUGUGAGCUCGAUGAGUAGGGCGGGACACGUGGUAUCCUGUCUGAAUAUGGGGGGACCAUCCUCCAAGGCUAAAUACUCCUGACUGACCGAUAGUGAACCAGUACCGUGAGGGAAAGGCGAAAAGAACCCCGGCGAGGGGAGUGAAAAAGAACCUGAAACCGUGUACGUACAAGCAGUGGGAGCACCCUUUGGGGUGUGACUGCGUACCUUUUGUAUAAUGGGUCAGCGACUUAUAUUCUGUAGCAAGGUUAACCGAAUAGGGGAGCCGGAGGGAAACCGAGUCUUAACCGGGCGUUAAGUUGCAGGGUAUAGACCCGAAACCCGGUGAUCUAGCCAUGGGCAGGUUGAAGGUUGGGUAACACUAACUGGAGGACCGAACCGACUAAUGUUGAAAAAUUAGCGGAUGACCUGUGGCUGGGGGUGAAAGGCCAAUCAAACCGGGAGAUAGCUGGUUCUCCCCGAAAGCUAUUUAGGUAGCGCCUCGUGAAUUCAUCUCCGGGGGUAGAGCACUGUUUCGGCUAGGGGGCCAUCCCGGCUUACCAACCCGAUGCAAACUGCGAAUACCGGAGAAUGUUAUCACGGGAGACACACGGCGGGUGCUAACGUCCGUCGUGAAGAGGGAAACAACCCAGACCGCCAGCUAAGGUCCCAAAGUCAUGGUUAAGUGGGAAACGAUGUGGGAAGGCCCAGACAGCCAGGAUGUUGGCUUAGAAGCAGCCAUCAUUUAAAGAAAGCGUAAUAGCUCACUGGUCGAGUCGGCCUGCGCGGAAGAUGUAACGGGGCUAAACCAUGCACCGAAGCUGCGGCAGCGACGCUGAUGCGUUGUUGGGUAGGGGAGCGUUCUGUAAGCCUGCGAAGGUGGCCUGUGAGGGUUGCUGGAGGUAUCAGAAGUGCGAAUGCUGACAUAAGUAACGAUAAAGCGGGUGAAAAGCCCGCUCGCCGGAAGACCAAGGGUUCCUGUCCAACGUUAAUCGGGGCAGGGUGAGUCGACCCCUAAGGCGAGGCCGAAAGGCGUAGUCGAUGGGAAACGGGUUAAUAUUCCCGUACUUGGUGUUACUGCGAAGGGGGGACGGAGAAGGCUAUGUUGGCCGGGCGACGGUUGUCCCGGUUUAAGCGUGUAGGCUGGUUUUCCAGGCAAAUCCGGAAAAUCAAGGCUGAGGCGUGACGACGAGGCACUACGGUGCUGAAGCAACAAAUGCCCUGCUUCCAGGAAAAGCCUCUAAGCAUCAGGUAACAUCAAAUCGUACCCCAAACCGACACAGGUGGUCAGGUAGAGAAUACCAAGGCGCUUGAGAGAACUCGGGUGAAGGAACUAGGCAAAAUGGUGCCGUAACUUCGGGAGAAGGCACGCUGACACGUAGGUGAAGUGAUUUACUCAUGGAGCUGAAGUCAGUCGAAGAUACCAGCUGGCUGCAACUGUUUAUUAAAAACACAGCACUGUGCAAACACGAAAGUGGACGUAUACGGUGUGACGCCUGCCCGGUGCCGGAAGGUUAAUUGAUGGGGUCAGCGCAAGCGAAGCUCCUGAUCGAAGCCCCGGUAAACGGCGGCCGUAACUAUAACGGUCCUAAGGUAGCGAAAUUCCUUGUCGGGUAAGUUCCGACCUGCACGAAUGGCGUAAUGAUGGCCAGGCUGUCUCCACCCGAGACUCAGUGAAAUUGAACUCGCUGUGAAGAUGCAGUGUACCCGCGGCAAGACGGAAAGACCCCGUGAACCUUUACUAUAGCUUGACACUGAACAUUGAGCCUUGAUGUGUAGGAUAGGUGGGAGGCUUUGAAGUGUGGACGCCAGUCUGCAUGGAGCCGACCUUGAAAUACCACCCUUUAAUGUUUGAUGUUCUAACGUGGACCCGUGAUCCGGGUUGCGGACAGUGUCUGGUGGGUAGUUUGACUGGGGCGGUCUCCUCCUAAAGAGUAACGGAGGAGCACGAAGGUUGGCUAAUCCUGGUCGGACAUCAGGAGGUUAGUGCAAUGGCAUAAGCCAGCUUGACUGCGAGCGUGACGGCGCGAGCAGGUGCGAAAGCAGGUCAUAGUGAUCCGGUGGUUCUGAAUGGAAGGGCCAUCGCUCAACGGAUAAAAGGUACUCCGGGGAUAACAGGCUGAUACCGCCCAAGAGUUCAUAUCGACGGCGGUGUUUGGCACCUCGAUGUCGGCUCAUCACAUCCUGGGGCUGAAGUAGGUCCCAAGGGUAUGGCUGUUCGCCAUUUAAAGUGGUACGCGAGCUGGGUUUAGAACGUCGUGAGACAGUUCGGUCCCUAUCUGCCGUGGGCGCUGGAGAACUGAGGGGGGCUGCUCCUAGUACGAGAGGACCGGAGUGGACGCAUCACUGGUGUUCGGGUUGUCAUGCCAAUGGCACUGCCCGGUAGCUAAAUGCGGAAGAGAUAAGUGCUGAAAGCAUCUAAGCACGAAACUUGCCCCGAGAUGAGUUCUCCCUGAGACUUAGAGUCUCCUGAAGGAACGUUGAAGACGACGACGUUGAUAGGCCGGGUGUGUAAGCGCAGCGAUGCGUUGAGCUAACCGGUACUAAUGAACCGUGAGGCUUAACCUUACAACGCCGAAG
rnacentral:rRNA from 1 species